UUUGGAGCUCCCGCAUGCAGGUGUAUUCGGUGGUCACACGACCCAUUUGCUAGUAUGAACUCAGAACUGGUAAAAGUCAUUACCUUUCACGGGUGAGUGGGAGAUGACGGUUGAAACACCCGGUGAAAGGGUGUAUGUGAGAAAAGACAUAACCGUAGGAUAUAACCAUUGUACCGGUUGUGUCUCUUGCAUAAACACCGCUUGAAUCCUAUAAAAGUAUAGGUUCUAUAUGACAAAUGGAGAUGCAGAAAACAUCAUAAAAGAAAACGUGAAUCAGUUUUGGUGAGUAGCAUUUGGGUUGUGAAUCUGCGAUUCCGACUCUGGUAGCCGGUUUCCGACCAUUGUCCAGAGUAUUUGAAGACUGUGAUUUCAACCAAAGAAAAGAUCGACUGAAUCGGAAAAUUUGGCACUGGUUAAGCUUCUAGAGGAGAGAGAUAAAUUCAUUGAGGUAAGCACCACUGAGUUGCAGAAUCUACGGGUAGAUAUACACAGGCUGCAGGUGCAGAAUUGGAGCCUAGCUCAAUCCAACAGCCAGUUUUUAGCCGUAUGAU